GAUGAACGCUGGCGGCGUGCCUAAUACAUGCAAGUCGAACGAAACUUCUUUAUCACCGAGUGCUUGCACUCACCGAUAAAGAGUUGAGUGGCGAACGGGUGAGUAACACGUGGGCAACCUGCCCAAAAGAGGGGGAUAACACUUGGAAACAGGUGCUAAUACCGCAUAACCAUAGUUACCGCAUGGUAACUAUGUAAAAGGUGGCUAUACUACCGCUUUUGGAUGGGCCCGCGGCGCAUUAGCUAGUUGGUAGGGUAAAGGCUUACCAAGGCAAUGAUGCGCAGCCGAAUUGAGAGGUUGAUCGGCCACAUUGGGACUGAGACACGGCCCAAACUCCUACGGGAGGCAGCAGUAGGGAAUCUUCCACAAUGGGCGAAAGCCUGAUGGAGCAACGCCGCGUGGGUGAAGAAGGUCUUCGGAUCGUAAAACCCUGUUGUUAGAGAAGAAAGUGCGUGAGAGUAACUGUUCACGUUUCGACGGUAUCUAACCAGAAAGCCACGGCUAACUACGUG
rnacentral:rRNA from 1 species